CGCGUGGGUAAUCUGCCCUGGAGCAGGGGAUAACAUCUCGAAAGAGAUGCUAAUACCGUAUGAGACCACAUGCCUGCGGGUGUGUGGGAAAAGGUGGGGAUCUUCGGACCUGCCGCUCUGGGAUGAGCCCGCGUACCAUUAGGUAGUUGGUGGGGUAAAAGCCUACCAAGCCAUAGAUGGUUAGCUGGUCUGAGAGGAUGAUCAGCCACACUGGGACUGAGACACGGCCCAGACUCCUACGGGAGGCAGCAGUGGGGAAUAUUGCGCAAUGGGGGAAACCCUGACGCAGCAACGCCGCGU
rnacentral:rRNA from 1 species